CCAACCUGCCGUCUACUCUUGGACAGCCUUCUGAAAGGAAGAUUAAUACAAGAUGGCAUCAUGAGUUCACAUGUUCACAUGAUUAAAGGUAUUCCGGUAGACGAUGGGGAUGCGUUCCAUUAGAUAGUAGGCGGGGUAACGGCCCACCUAGUCUUCGAUGGAUAGGGGUUCUGAGAGGAAGGUCCCCCACAUUGGAACUGAGACACGGUCCAA
rnacentral:rRNA from 1 species